AUGAGAGGGAGCAAUCUAGUGCAGGCAACGACGAUAUUCUUCAUCGGAUGCCUUGUCGUGUGUGUCCAGUGUGGUCUCGACGCUAAUGAAAUGGUAGUCAAACAAGAUGGCCGUGUGGCGAAUACAAGUACUGACGCUACCGUUGUCAACUCAACGUCUGUAGGCGACAGCAAGAUAACUGUCAAAUUUUGCAUCCAAAAUUUGGGAUGCCAUCUUUCAGAUGGGUACCGUGGUACAUGCUACUGCUGCCAGAAAGAUGAGAUCGAGUGUUUCAGGACGCGGAGUGAGUGUCAGGACAUCUGCCCUACGUGCAACCCAAAAUGCCCACCUCCGUCGGGGUCUCUUGGAUAG
rnacentral:rRNA from 1 species